CCUACGGGGGGCAGCAGUGGGGAAUAUUGGACAAUGGGCGAAAGCCUGAUCCAGCCAUGCCGCGUGUGUGAAGAAGGCCUUCGGGUUGUAAAGCACUUUCAGUGGGGAAGAAAGCCUUGGGGCUAAUACCCUCGAGGAAGGACAUCACCCACAGAAGAAGCACCGGCUAACUCCGUGCCAGCAGCCGCGGUAAUACGGAGGGUGCGAGCGUUAAUCGGAAUUACUGGGCGUAAAGCGCGCGUAGGCGGUCUGAUAAGCCGGUUGUGAAAGCCCCGGGCUCAACCUGGGAACGGCAUCCGGAACUGUCAGGCUAGAGUGCAGGAGAGGAAGGUAGAAUUCCCGGUGUAGCGGUGAAAUGCGUAGAGAUCGGGAGGAAUACCAGUGGCGAAGGCGGCCUUCUGGACUGACACUGACGCUGAGGUGCGAAAGCGUGGGUAGCAAACAGGAUUAGAUACCGGGUAUC
rnacentral:rRNA from 1 species